UUGUCUGAGACAGAUUCUGUUUAUGACUCACAGAAGCUAGCUGAGAGAAUUGCGAAAUUGUCUGGUGGUGUUGCUGUUAUCAAAGUGGGGGCUGCAACAGAGACUGAGCUUGAAGACCGUAAACUUCGAAUUGAGGAUGCCAAGAAUGCAACAUUUGCUGCUAUAGAAGAAGGUAUUGUGCCUGGUGGUGGUACUGCAUUGGUUCAUCUCUCAAAUCAUGUUCCUGCAAUUAAGGACAAGAUUGAAGAUGCAGAGGAGCGUUUAGGUGCUGAUAUUGUGCAGAAGGCACUGGUAGCACCAGCAUCAUUAAUAGCUCAAAAUGCUGGAAUUGAAGGUGAGGUGGUUGUGGAGAAGAUAAGGGUUAGCGAAUGGGAGAUUGGUUAUAAUGCCAUGACAGACAAGUAUGAGAACUUGGUGGAGGCUGGAGUUAUUGACCC
rnacentral:misc_RNA from 1 species